AUAUGCUCACUUAUCAUGUUAAUAAACAUGAAACAAAACCCCCAAGACAGUUAAAACAAUCCUGCAUAACAAAAGAACUGGCAGAAGUGUCACCACUUCACCUCAGAGUGUACUACAGAGACAUAAUAAAGAGAAAGCAACAGACAAGAUGCAAAACAAGACUCGGAGCCCCUAGACUACACUGUGGCUUCAGCAGCCCUCCGUCAAGCCAAGGGUCACACAGCCACACAUGCAAAUCUGUCUGUUGUACAAUUAAGAGGAGUCAGCACAUUGAGGCUGGCUCCUUUUGAAGAGACAACUGCCCUGCUCUUCUGCUACCUGCUCAGAGGCUGAACCUGUCUUCCUGAGACAUUCCUGGCGACCGCGUGCUGACAGAAUGGCUCCAGGCACGGAGAAUGAACUGGCAGUGGGGAUGGGCCUUCCCCCUUAUAAGCACACUCUCUUAGUAAACUCAACUCGCGGGCCUGA